GCUGGCGGCGUGCUUAACACAUGCAAGUCGAACGGAAAGGCCUCAGCUUGCUGGGGUGCUCGAGUGGCGAACGGGUGAGUAACACGUAGGUGAUCUGCCUUUCACUUCGGGAUAAGCUUGGGAAACUGGGUCUAAUACCGGAUAUUCACGGCACCGUGGUUGGUGUGGUGGAAAGCUUUUGCGGUGGGAGAUGAGCUUGCGGCCUAUCAGCUUGUUGGUGGGGUAAUGGCCUACCAAGGCGGCGACGGGUAGCCGGCCUGAGAGGGUGUGCGGCCACAUUGGGACUGAGAUACGGCCCAGACUCCUACGGGAGGCAGCAGUGGGGAAUUUUGCACAAUGGGCGGAAGCCUGAUGCAGCGACGCCGUGUGGGGGAUGAAGGCCUUCGGGUUGUAAACUCCUUUCGUCAGGGACGAAGUUUGUUUGACGGUACCUGGAUAAGAAGCACCGGCUAACUACGUGCCAGCCGCCGCGGUAA
rnacentral:rRNA from 1 species